rnacentral:tRNA from 1 species
GCCGCGGUGCCAGAGUGGUUAUUGGGCCAGACUCGAGAUCUGGUGACCCUUUCGGGUCGCAGGGGUUCGAAUCCUCUCCGCGGCGCCA